CUGCAUGUAGUUAAGCUGAUUCACCUAGCCUGCCUCCCUGAUUGGGGGCUCACUGUGCAGUGACUGCAAAAGGCUGAUUCCCUGGUUGUGUGUGGAGCUCAUUCUUUGUGUUACUCUAAAGGGCCUUGAAGACUUCG